GUAACGCGUGGGAACGUGCCCUUCAGUUCGGAAUAACCCAGGGAAACUUGGGCUAAUACCGGAUACGUGCGAGAGCAGAAAGAUUUAUCGCUGAAGGAUCGGCCCGCGUCUGAUUAGCUAGUUGGUGAGGUAAUGGCUCACCAAGGCGACGAUCAGUAGCUGGUCUGAGAGGAUGAUCAGCCACAUUGGGACUGAGACACGGCCCAAACUCCUACGGGAGGCAGCAGUGGGGAAUAUUGGACAAUGGGCGCAAGCCUGAUCCAGCCAUGCCGCGUGAGUGAUGAAGGCCUUAGGGUUGUAAAGCUCUUUCGUCCGGGACGAUAAUGACGGUACCGGAAGAAGAAGCCCCGGCUAACUUCGUGCCAGCAGCCGCGG
rnacentral:rRNA from 1 species